ACGCUAGCUACAGGCUUAACACAUGCAAGUCGAGGGGAAACGGCAUUGAGUGCUUGCACUCUUUGGACGUCGACCGGCGCACGGGUGAGUAACGCGUAUCCAACCUUCCCAUUACUGUGGGAUAACCUGCCGAAAGGCAGACUAAUACCGCAUAGUCUUCGUUGACGGCAUCAGAUAUGAAGUAAAGAUUUAUCGGUAAUGGAUGGGGAUGCGUCUGAUUAGCUUGUUGGCGGGGUAACGGCCCACCAAGGCAACGAUCAGUAGGGGUUCUGAGAGGAAGGCCCCCCACAUUGGAACUGAGACACGGUCCAAACUCCUACGGGAGGCAGCAGUGAGGAAUAUUGGUCAAUGGACGGAAGUCUGAACCAGCCAAGUAGCGUGCAGGAUGACGGCCCUAUGGGUUGUAAACUGCUUUUGUAUGGGGAUAAAGUUAGGGACGUGUCCCUAUUUGCAGGUACCAUACGAAUAAGGACCGGCUAAUUCCGUGCCAGCAGCCGCGGUAAUACGGAAGGUCCAGGCGUUAUCCGGAUUUAUUGGGUUUAAAGGGAGCGUAGGCUGGAGAUUAAGUGUGUUGUGAAAUGUAGACGCUCAACGUCUGAAUUGCAGCGCAUACUGGUUUCCUUGAGUACGCACAACGUUGGCGGAAUUCGUCGUGUAGCGGUGAAAUGCUUAGAUAUGACGAAGAACUCCGAUUGCGAAGGCAGCUGACGGGAGCGCAACUGACGCUUAAGCUCGAAGGUGCGGGUAUCAAACAGGAUUAGAUACCCUGGUAGUCCGCACAGUAAACGAUGGAUGCCCGCUGUUGGUACCUGGUAUCAGCGGCUAAGCGAAAGCAUUAAGCAUCCCACCUGGGGAGUACGCCGGCAACGGUGAAACUCAAAGGAAUUGACGGGGGCCCGCACAAGCGGAG
rnacentral:rRNA from 1 species